GAUGAACGCUGGCGGCGUGCCUAAUACAUGCAAGUCGAGCGAACGGACGAGAAGCUUGCUUCUCUGAUGUUAGCGGCGGACGGGUGAGUAACACGUGGAUAACCUACCUAUAAGACUGGGAUAACUUCGGGAAACCGGAGCUAAUACCGGAUAAUAUUUUGAACCGCAUGGUUCAAAAGUGAAAGACGGUCUUGCUGUCACUUAUAGAUGGAUCCGCGCUGCAUUAGCUAGUUGGUAAGGUAACGGCUUACCAAGGCAACGAUGCAUAGCCGACCUGAGAGGGUGAUCGGCCACACUGGAACUGAGACACGGUCCAGACUCCUACGGGAGGCAGCAGUAGGGAAUCUUCCGCAAUGGGCGAAAGCCUGACGGAGCAACGCCGCGUGAGUGAUGAAGGUCUUCGGAUCGUAAAACUCUGUUAUUAGGGAAGAACAUAUGUGUAAGUAACUGUGCACAUCUUGACGGUACCUAAUCAGAAAGCCACGGCUAACUACGUGCCAGCAGCCGCGGUACUACGUAGGUGGCAAGCGUUAUCCGGAAUUAUUGGGCGUAAAGCGCGCGUAGGCGGUUUUUUAAGUCUGAUGUGAAAGCCCACGGCUCAACCGUGGAGGGUCAUUGGAAACUGGAAAACUUGAGUGCAGAAGAGGAAAGUGGAAUUCCAUGUGUAGCGGUGAAAUGCGCAGAGAUAUGGAGGAACACCAGUGGCGAAGGCGACUUUCUGGUCUGUAACUGACGCUGAUGUGCGAAAGCGUGGGGAUCAAACAGGAUUAGAUACCCUGGUAGUCCACGCCGUAAACGAUGAGUGCUAAGUGUUAGGGGGUUUCCGCCCCUUAGUGCUGCAGCUAACGCAUUAAGCACUCCGCCUGGGGAGUACGACCGCAAGGUUGAAACUCAAAGGAAUUGACGGGGACCCGCACAAGCGGUGGAGCAUGUGGUUUAAUUCGAAGCAACGCGAAGAACCUUACCAAAUCUUGACAUCCUUUGACAACUCUAGAGAUAGAGCUUUCCCCUUCGGGGGACAAAGUGACAGGUGGUGCAUGGUUGUCGUCAGCUCGUGUCGUGAGAUGUUGGGUUAAGUCCCGCAACGAGCGCAACCCUUAAGCUUAGUUGCCAUCAUUAAGUUGGGCACUCUAAGUUGACUGCCGGUGACAAACCGGAGGAAGGUGGGGAUGACGUCAAAUCAUCAUGCCCCUUAUGAUUUGGGCUACACACGUGCUACAAUGGACAAUACAAAGGGCAGCGAAACCGUGAGGUCAAGCAAAUCCCAUAAAGUUGUUCUCAGUUCGGAUUGUAGUCUGCAACUCGACUACAUGAAGCUGGAAUCGCUAGUAAUCGUAGAUCAGCAUGCUACGGUGAAUACGUUCCCGGGUCU
rnacentral:rRNA from 1 species